UACGGAGGGGGCUAGCGUUGUUCGGAGUUACUGGGCGUAAAGGGUGCGUAGGCGGCUUCUUAAGUCUGACGUGAAAUCUCCGGGCCUAACCCGGAAACUGCGUUGGAUACUAUUCAACUAGAGGAAUGGAGGGGAGACUGGAAUACUUGGUGUAGCAGUGAAAUGCGUAGAUAUCAAGUGGAACACCAGUGGCGAAGGCGAGUCUCUGGACAUUUCCUGACGCUGAGGCACGAAAGCCAGGGGAGCAAACGGG
rnacentral:rRNA from 1 species